AGGACGAACGCUGGCGGCGUGCUUAACACAUGCAAGUCGAGCGGAAAGGCCCUUCGGGGGUACUCGAGCGGCGAACGGGUGAGUAACACGUGAGUAACCUGCCCCUAGCUCUGGGAUAGCUCCGGGAAACCGGGAUUAAUACCAGAUACGACCACUUUAGACAUCUGUCGUGGUGGAAAGGAUUCCGGCUAGGGAUGGGCUCGCGGCCUGUCAGCUUGUUGGUGGGUAACGGCCUACCGAGGCGACGACGGGUAGCC
rnacentral:rRNA from 1 species